rnacentral:rRNA from 1 species
CAGUCGCCGCGGUAAUACAGAGGGUGCGAGCGUUAAUCGGAUUUACUGGGCGUAAAGCGUGCGUAGGCGGCUAAUUGAGUCGGAUGUGAAAUCCCCGAGCUUAACUUGGGAAUUGCAUUCGAUACUGGUUAGCUAGAGUGUGGGAGAGGAUGGUAGAAUUCCAGGUGUAGCGGUGAAAUGCGUAGAGAUCUGGAGGAAUACCGAUGGCGAAGGCAGCCAUCUGGCCUAAUACUGACGCUGAGGUACGAAAGCAUGGGGAGCAAACAGGAUUAGAUACCCCGGUAGUCCCUGUCUCUUAUAC